rnacentral:rRNA from 1 species
CCUAUACGUGCAAGUCGAACGAACUUCCGUUAAUUGAUUAUGACGUGCUUGCACUGAAUGAGAUUUUAACACGAAGUGAGUGGCGGACGGGUGAGUAACACGUGGGUAACCUGCCCAGAAGCAGGGGAUAACACCUGGAAACAGAUGCUAAUACCGUAUAACAGAGAAAACCGCCUGGUUUUCUUUUAAAAGAUGGCUCUGCUAUCACUUCUGGAUGGACCCGCGGCGCAUUAGCUAGUUGGUGAGGUAACGGCUCACCAAGGCGAUGAUGCGUAGCCGACCUGAGAGGGUAAUCGGCCACAUUGGGACUGAGACACGGCCCAGACUCCUACGGGAGGCAGCAGUAGGGAAUCUUCCACAAUGGACGCAAGUCUGAUGGAGCAACGCCGCGUGAGUGAAGGAGGGUUUCGGCUCGUAAAGCUCUGUUGUUAAAGAAGAACGUGGGUGAGAGUAACUGUUCACCCAGUGACGGUAUUUAACCAGAAAGCCACGGCUAACUACGUGCCAGCAGCCGCGGUAAUACGUAGGUGGCAAGCGUUAUCCGGAUUUAUUGGGCGUAAAGCGAGCGCAGGCGGUCUUUUAAGUCUAAUGUGAAAGCCUUCGGCUCAACCGAAGAAGUGCAUUGGAAACUGGGAGACUUGAGUGCAGAAGAGGACAUUGUAACUCCAUGUGUAGCGGUGAAAUGCGUCGAUAUAUGGAAGAACACCAGUGGCGAAGGCGGCUGUCUGGUCUGUAACUGACGCUGAGGCUCGAAAGCAUGGGUAGCGAACAGGAUUAGAUACCCUGGUAGUCCAUGCCGUAAACGAUGAUUACUAAGUGUUGGAGGGUUUCCGCCCUUCAGUGCUGCAGCUAACGCAUUAAGUAUCCGCCUGGGGAGUACGACCGCAAGGUGAAACUCAAAAG